rnacentral:rRNA from 1 species
UACGUAGGGUGCAAGCGUUGUCCGGAAUUAUUGGGCGUAAAGAGCUCGUAGGCGGUUUGUCGCGUCUGCUGUGAAAACCCGAGGCUCAACCUCGGGCCUGCAGUGGGUACGGGGCAGACUAGAGUGCGGUAGGGGAGAUUGGAAUUCCUGGUGUAGCGGUGGAAUGCGCAGAUAUCAGGAGGAACACCAAUGGCGAAGGCAGAUCUCUGGGCCGUAACUGACGCUGAGGAGCGAAAGCGUGGGGAGCAAACAGG